UACGAAGGGGGCUAGCGUUGCUCGGAAUUACUGGGCGUAAAGCGCACGUAGGCGGUCUUUUAAGUCGGGGGUGAAAUCCUGGAGCUCAACUCCAGAACUGCCUUCGAUACUGGAAGACUUGAGUCCGGGAGAGGUGAGUGGAACUGCGAGUGUAGAGGGUGAAAUUCGUAGAUAUUCGCAAGAACACCAGUGGCGAAGGCGGCUCACUGGCCCGGUACUGACGCUGAGGUGCGGAAAGCGUGGGGAGCAAACAGG
rnacentral:rRNA from 1 species